rnacentral:rRNA from 1 species
GGUAGAGAGGCGUCAAGCGGGCAGAUUCACCUCCCGCCCCGAAUACUUAGCUGGGAUAACGGAAUAGGACCCCGACCUUCUACCCUCAGUCGGUCCCGUUUAUACAGCGAGGUCCAUCAGGGUAAUGAUUAAUAGGGAUAGUCGGGGGCACCAAUAUUUAAUCGUCAGAGGUGAAAUCCUUGGAUCUAUGAAAGAUUAACCCCUGCGAAAGCGUUUGCCAAGGAUGUUUUCAUUAAUCAAGAACGAAAGUUAGGGGAUCGAAGACGAUCAGAUACCGUCGUAGUCUUAACCAUAAACGAUGCCGACCAGCGAUUAGGAGACGUUGAAUACAAAACACCGCUGUUAGUCCUUUCGGGGAUUAAUAGUUGGUGAAUGACCCCCUGGGACCCUGGUGAGAU